ACCAGACUCCUACGGGAGGCAGCAGUGGGGAAUAUUGGGCAAUGGGCGCAAGCCUGACCCAGCAACGCCGCGUGAAGGAAGAAGGCUUUCGGGUUGUAAACUUCUUUUCUCAGGGACGAAGAAAGUGACGGUACCUGAGGAAUAAGCCACGGCUAACUACGUGCCAGCAGCCGCGGUAAUACGUAGGGGGCAAGCGUUAUCCGGAUUUACUGGGUGUAAAGGGAGCGUAGACGGAAAGGCAAGUCAGAAGUGAAAACCCAAGGCUCAACCAUGGGACUGCUUUUGAAACUGUUUUUCUUGAGUACUGGAGAGGCAGACGGAAUUCCUAGUGUAGCGGUGAAAUGCGUAGAUAUUAGGAGGAACACCAGUGGCGAAGGCGGUCUGCUGGACAGCAACUGACGCUGAGGCGCGAAAGCGUGGGGAGCAAACAGGAUUAGAUACCCCUGUACU
rnacentral:rRNA from 1 species